GGAGAGAGGAGCUCGUUGAAGAGAGAAUGAAGUUGUUUCAAUAGGAAGCAGGAAAACAAGCAAUAGAAAGAAAUAAUGAAAGAAUGCAGAAUGUAAAAACGAGAGAGAGAGAGAGACGAGAGAAAGAAGAGAGCAUUGUUGUGAGUUCACACUGACAUAGAUUUAAACAUUUUUCCUUAAUUUAAAAGAAAAACCAAAAAACAAAACAACACAAAAACUCUUUAUUUUUUAAACUCUGAAUUUUAUUAUUAUUAUAAUUAUUAUUAUUAUAAUUAUUAUUAUUAUUAUUAUUUUUUACUUCUCCAAUCAAAUUUUACAAUUGUUUUCUAUGGACAAAAAUGAAAGGAAAGACAGAAGGAAGUAAAGUAAUUCAGAUGUCUUGUAGAAACCUCUGCAGUUGAAUAAAUGAUACGUUUACAGUG